ACCCCUGAAAAAAAGGGACAAAGCGGAAAGGAAAAGAAGAAGAUAGGGCAUAAUGAAAAGUAGGUAAGAAGGUAGGGUUUCAGGUAGAAGUUUGGAGUAAAUAAAUAGUUUGGUAAAAUGAGUAAGUUUUAAUGUAAUGUGUACAUAUAGGAAAUACCAAAGGUGGUUUGACAGAUAGCUGACAGGCAUGUGAGUAAGUAAAUGAGUAGGAACAUCUGUUGGCUUAGUGAGUAUGAAUACAUUAAGGACGAUUAAAAGAGUAAAGAUUUUUUUUUAAUUUUCAAUUUCUGAAUCUUUUUUCUGCAGGUUAUUGACCAAUCACCUCAUCUCGUUAGAACAGAAUGUAUGCAAACUCUUGUGCUGAGAAGGGCUCGUAUUCACUGACCUUCCUUGGAAAGAAAGUUGGACGACAUCGUUCUGUGGCUCCUGCAGGGAAACAAUGUGCCUGGGAGUCGGCUAACACCUGUCCUGAUUCUGAUACUCUGGAUUCCAAGAUCCCUAGACGGGUUGCACAGGCACCGCAGAUGCUGGAGGAUUUACCAGGAAGUGUACCACAGUUAAGGGAUGAGAGGCCACACCCACUUCUUCACAGAAACGUACAGUUACACCAGAGUCAGGAAAACACAACAGGGUUUUCUGAGAGGAAAAUAAACAUCAUGACAACAGAGACGAACAAGUUCCUGUGAGAACGAGAUGAAAUACUCCUGAAAUCUUAUAAAAGAAUCUACAAUGAAGGGGCGAUCUAAUGACAAUCAGGAUUUUUUUUUUAUAAACAGGGACUAUGAUGUGGUUUGAUUAUUUGUUCAUAUAAAUAAUUCAUAAAUGACUGUUACGUUUUCUUUACUCUUUUAGAGAUAAAUCUAUAAAUAACUUCCUGAAAAAAUGUAAAACUGUAACAAAUCCAUUAAUAAAAACUUAAAUGUUUUAAGCACA